GUUGAGUGUUGUGUGUUGUGGCGAUGAAAAUGUUACAUUUCUGAAAUGUUGUUUUGCUUGUAAAGGAUAGAUCUAUUUCAUUGAUUUUUGUUAUUUCAAUGGCGAAAACGGAUGUUGUUGAAGGAGAUCCACUUACCGUUAAAGAGAUAGAGUUGAAAAGAGAGUUGCAGAGAUUGGUUAAGGCGAUUUUGUCUCAAGAGGAGAUUAAUGUUGAUGCUAUUGAUAAAACCCAGCAAAUCCUCCUUGAUUUGAAGGAAUUAAAGAUUAAACGAUCUCCAUCCUCUCUCGAUCUUCCUUUUCCUGACGAAUUUCGAUGUCCACUUUCUAAACAACUUAUGACAGAUCCUGUUAUGCUUGCUUCCGGUCAGACUUAUGACAGACCCUUCAUUCAGAAAUGGUUAAAAGCUGGGAAUAGGACGUGCCCUCAAACACAACAAGUACUUUCACAUACAAUUCUUACACCUAAUCACUUGAUUCGGAAUAUGAUAUCGCAAUGGUGUAAAAAUAAUGGGAUUCAAAUGCCAGACUCUGUUCAGUAUUUGAAUGAUGAAGGGUUGACUGAAGCUGACCGUGAUUUGUUCUUGUCGUUGCUUGAGAAGAUGUCUUCAACCUUAUCUGAUCAAAAAGUUGCUGCAAGAGAAUUACGUUUGUUGACGAAGAAAAUGCCUUCAUUUCGGUCACUAUUUGGAGAAUCUGCAGAUGCAAUUCCUCAACUUGUUCGUCCCCUAUCUCAAAGCAACAGCAAUGUUAAUCCAAAUCUUCAGGAAGACAUAAUCACAACACUUUUGAAUCUGUCCAUCCAUGACAACAACAAGAAGCUUGUCGCGGAGACUCCAAAAGUUAUUCCACUUCUUGUGGAGGCAUUAAGAUCAGGAACGAUUGAAACAAGGAGCAAUGCAGCAGCUGCCCUUUUCACCCUAUCUGCCCUUGAUUCUAAUAAAGAGCUUAUCGGAAAAUCUGGUGCCCUUAAACCACUGGUUGAACUUCUAGAUGAAGGGAACCCAGUCGCAAUGAAGGAUGUUGCAUCAGCUCUUUUUAGUCUUUGCAUUAUUCAGGACAAUAAGGCGAGAGCGGUUAGAGAUGGUGCUGUGAGGGCUAUCCUGAAAAAGAUAAUGAGUAACGUGCAUGUCGAUGAGUUGCUAGCUAUACUAGCUAUGCUAUCAAAUAAUCAAAAGGCAGUGGAGGAGAUGGGUGACCUUGGGGCGGUUACAUGUUUGCUUAAUAUAAUAAGGGAGACCUCGUGUGGUCGCAGCAAGGAGAAUUGUAUUGCAGUCCUUUAUACAAUCUGUUACAGUGAUCGAACCAAGUGGAAGACAUUAAGGGAUGAGGAGAAAACGUAUGGGACAAUCUCUCAACUUGCUCAAAAUGGUACAGCAAGAGCCAAGAGGAAGGCUAAUGGUAUUCUAGACAGACUGAACAGGGCUAUCAAUCUUACUCAUACUGCAUAAAAGAAGCGAGCAGGCAGUUUGAAGAACAAAAUGUGUAAAUUCUGGUCUUUCCUUUCAUAAAAAAGUAUUUGAGGCAUGUUGUGGUUCGCUUGCAACCUUACAUUCUGUACAUUCUAUCUGAGAUUUACAACCGAUUGUGAAUAAUUUAUUAUGAAG
rnacentral:misc_RNA from 1 species